rnacentral:pre_miRNA from 14 species
CCUUACAAGUGGACAUUAAUCAUAAAGUACAUGGUACCUGAAAGACCCCCAGAGUGGGGAGACCCUCACUCAAGUCUCGGGAUUAUCCGACCCCCCAAGAACUCACACAAGACC